rnacentral:rRNA from 1 species
GAUGAACGCUGACAGAAUGCUUAACACAUGCAAGUCGGUGGCGGACGGGUGAGUAACGCGUAAAGAACUUACCUCACAGUUAGGGACAACAUUUGGAAACGAAUGCUAAUACCUAAUACUGUGAGAGAGCUUUGCGUCCCAUUAGCUAGUUGGAGAGGUAACGGCUCACCAAGGCGAUGAUGGGUAGCCGGCCUGAGAGGGUGAUCGGCCACAAGGGGACUGAGACACGGCCCUUACUCCUACGGGAGGCAGCAGUGGGGAAUAUUGCACAAUGGGCGCAAGCCUGAUACAGCCAUGCCGCGUGGAUGAAGAAGGCCCUAGGGUUGUAAAGUACUUUCAGUCGGGAGCGGUACCGGAAUAGAAAGCCACGGCUAACUACGUGCCAGCCGCCGCUGUAAUAC